CAGCCGCCGCGGUAAUACGUAGGUCCCGAGCGUUGUCCGGAUUCAUUGGGCGUAAAGUGAGCGCAGGCGGUUAGAUAUGUCUGAAGUUAAAGGCUGUGGCUUAACCAUAGUACGCUUUGGAAACUGUUUAACUUGAGUGCAAGAGGGGAGAGUGGAAUUCCAUGUGUAGCGGUGAAAUGCGUUGAGAUCGGAAAGAACACCAACGGCGAAAGCACUCUGCUGGGCCGACACUGACACUGAGAGACGAAAGCUAGGGGAGCAAAUGGGAUUAGAUACCCCUGUAGUCCCUGUCUCUUAUACC
rnacentral:rRNA from 1 species